AUUUGGCUUCUGAAAGGCCUUGAAGGCCUGCCUCUGCCUGCUGGCAUGAGACCCCAAUGAGAAAGUAGCAUCUUGGAUGUGAUUAAUGGAUUAGACCACCUUGGCAGCUUGAAGAAGUAUGGACUUCAACUCCCAGAAUUCCCAGCCAGCAGGGUUGAAGUCCACAUAUUUUCAAGCUGCUAAGGUUGAGAAACAUUGGAUUAGACAGACACCUCCCACCUCUUCCCAGUGUGCACUUUGCUUCCUUCCUCCAAUUUUGGUUAAUUGAAAAUCUCAGCAGCUUUCAUUCCCAGAAUUCCCCAGCCAGCAGGCAGGAGGUGAAGUUCACACAUCUUAAAGUUGCUGUGAUUGAGAAAUGGUGAUGAUUGCUGUUCCUCAAUGGUAUGAUAUGGUUUUUGAAUAUCCAGAAAAAGAAGGAGUUUUUCCUGAGUUGUUUCUGAUUUAGUCAGAAACAAGUCAUUGUUAAAAGAAUGGCUGGUAUGUUCCCACUCCUUUUUCUUUGAAUUACAGGGUUUAGUGCGCACAAGUCCCAUAGAGUCCACAAAGCUCUAAUUAACACCCACAGUGAAAUAUCUUUUGUUAAACUGGUCAUUAAGCACACUUUUCUGUAGGAAAAAAACAUGUUAGCUUGGUGGUCUAAUGAAGGGAUAUACUGCCAAUGCUGACAGGCUCAUAAUUGAACUAACUCUAAAAAUAACAUAUGUGCCUUUACCUUUUUUUUUUCCAGGCCUUGAAAAAAAUAUAUUAAUAAUUAACUAUAUACUUUGCUUUAAGAGAAAUUCAAGAGAUUUUUACUUCCUGAAUAAAAUGACUUAACUCUCGGAAAGUAUUGUGCCCUGUGCAUUGGUUUCUUUUUUGCUUGUUGAACUGCCCUUUGCCUCCUCUUCACCUCCCAUAGAAACUCGCCUGCCAGUUAAGAUCAGCUUCGCAGGUCCUUCUCUGGGGGCAUCUCUCAAUUAGAAUUAGGACUACAAACACACCUUGAAGAACAAAUGGGCCUAAAAGUACCAGCUUUAAUUAUGGUACCUGUGGUGGACUUGCCAGGAAACAAAAUGAUUCACAUAGCAUGUUGGCUCAGCCAGUAACUAAGGAUCACACAUCACGAACAAGAAAACAUCAAUAAUGGAGUUAUUGGUGGAGUUAGUACUAACUACUCUGUGUAUUAUCUGAUGCUAAUAAGUACAUUUAAACUUAGAAUAUUUGUCAACAAUUUUUUCUAGCUGCCUUCUGACAGAAUUCAGAAAUAAUGUCUGUAAUUCCAGAAUCCUCUAAAAUCCUUGUAUUUUUCAUAUUAAAAUCAAAAUUAUGAUGCAUCAUUUUGGUGUGGUUUUUACAGAGAAUUCAUCAGACAAAAGUUUUUAAAGUUUUUAUUUAUAUAUUGCAAUAAUUUAGUUCAAACAUUCCAUAUAUUUCCAAUAUGUACUUAUAAAUAUUUUACUUCUAUGAAAUAUAUACAAGUGUUUUCUUAAAAUGAAGUUAACCUUCCAUUUAAUGUAUCAAAUAUAAAUGAAUUGUUGCUGAGGCCAUCAUUUUAUUGUGGCACUUGCAGUGAAUUAUCCUGAGCAGGAUUCUACAUAUUUGUUUCAAAAAAAAAGUCUCUCUAUUGUUUUAAUCAACUCCUGCAAAUGUUUGCCAAAUUAAAGACUUAUUUUGUAAA